GCGACACUAGCUCAGUUGGUAGAGCGCAACCUUGCCAAGGUUGAGGUCACGAGUUC
rnacentral:tRNA from 2 species